rnacentral:rRNA from 1 species
GACGAACGCUGGCGGCGUGCUUAACACAUGCAAGUCGAACGGUGGAGCGCCUUCCUUUUUGGUGGGUGUGGAUGAGUGGCGAACGGGUGAGUAACACGUGAGUAACCUGCCCCCUUCUUCUGGAUAACCGCAUGAAAGUGUGGCUAAUACGGGAUAUUCUGUGUCUGUCGCAUGAUGGGUCUGGGAAAGAUAUUGUUUCGGUGGGGGAUGGGCUCGCGGCCUAUCAGCUUGUUGGUGGGGUGAUGGCCUACCAAGGCGGUGACGGGUAGCCGGCCUGGGGGGGGGGACGGGACAAAUGGGGAUGAGACACGGCCAAGACUCCGACGGGGGGGAGGAGGGGGGAAUAUUGGACAAGGGGAGCAAGCCUGAUGCAGCGACGCCGCGGGAGGGAUGGAGGCCUUCGGGUUGUGAACCUCUUUCGCCAGUGAAGCAGGCCUGCCUCGUUUGUGGGUGGGUUGACGGUAGCUGGAUAAGAAGCGCCGGCUAACUACGUG